UCGGACCCAUCGCUCUUGCGGUAAAUGCUUGUAUUUUAUAUGUAUUUAAGUUUGUCACGUCCAUCCUACCUAUUAUAUUAUUUAUAUUUUAAGGGAUAUAACGGACCUUACGGGAAAGAGUACGGACGGCUAAGGCCGACCACCUCCACGGCUAUUGCUGGAUGCUAUUAAUAGGAGACAGGUAUUUUUUUUGGUGGAAUAGGAGACAGGUAUUGACAACACUACCCACCCGGGAACGGUCACCGGUAGACUUUAGGUGGUCGUUGCGGCUAGCAUGGAGCCAUGCAUCACUUCUUCCACAGGAGCUACGUGGAUGCUGUAGCCUUGGAGAAAUUAUUGCAUACACCC
rnacentral:lncRNA from 1 species